GAUGAAGAACGUAGCGAAAUGCGAUAAGUAGUGUGAAUUGCAGAAUUCCGUGAAUCAUCGAAUCUUUGAACGCACAUUGCGCCUCCUGGUAGUCCGGGAGGCAUGCCUGUUCGAGCGUCACCAAAUCCAACUCAAGCGGUUUUGCGCUUGGUCGUGGCGGAAGAGUCGGUCUGGUUGCCGUCUCCCCUCCGAAAAUCAACGGCGGAAAGUCACUGGCAGUCAGCGUAGUAGUAUCGUUCGCCGAACAUCCAGUGGCAUUCCUGCCGACGUACCCCCACAAUUCUCGUGAUCGACCUCGGAUCAGGUAGGGAUACCCGCUGAACUUAAGCAUAUCAAUAAGCGGAGGA
rnacentral:misc_RNA from 1 species